GUGGGCGGGGGCAGGUGUGUG
rnacentral:miRNA from 1 species